UUCAGAAGGUGAUGCAUUUCUUUCACAUUUUUAGUUUAUUUAUUAUUUUUAUCAAUACAUACUUGUAUAUGUUUUGGAUUCUGGAUCUCAUGUUGGUUCCUUUAAACAUCAUUCUCUUCAAUGAUUGAGGGGAAGAACGAAGAGAUGUCAACAUCUGAGUUAUCUGGAGGAGCAACGAUACACUAUAUAUUUCAGUCAAUAUUCGUCAAGAGUUUGGAGGAAGUGGACCCUCGUUCGAUGGACUACAUAAACACCUCGCACCCAAAUUUUGUUGGUGGGAGUAAAGCGGUUGAGAUAGCGUUGCAGCAAGUCAAAUCCUCUAAGAUUGCAUCAACAAUACCAAAGCAAAAGCUAAGGAGCUAAGUUUGGAUGUGUUGAAUCAAUAUCUGGAGAAGAAGAUAUUUACGAAACUCAAAAGACCUUUUGCGGUGGUUUACAUCCACACUGAAGCUUGUAAGAGCGAGAAUUUUUCCGGAAUAUCCUUUCUCCGGUCAGUUUACGAUUCGAUUCCGGUCACCGUCAAACAGAAUCUCGAAACGGUUUACUUCGUUUAUCCAGAUCUACAGUCCAGGCUCUUCCUCGCCACAUUCGGCCAUUUCAUCUUCACCGUAGGGGAUCACGAAGUUCAUGGGCGGGGGGACGUGGUAAAUGGGCAACAGGAAGAGGAAGAUUCAGAGCCACCAUGAUUGUAAUGACUUUUCUUAACUGAACUGGCCGAGGUGGGUAGAGCUGCAAUCAAUCGCAGAUUUCAUUGAAGCCUUUAUGACAUGUAUUGCAUGAGCGUUGCACAUCUGCGUGUGCACUAUAAAGGCAAGAAGCAUCUAUGGGUCAGGCAAGCUGAAGAGGGUAUGGCAUAUAUGAAAAAAUGAAUAGGAUUUAGAGGAUGCAGAUGAUGAUGAGGUUUGUAAGACCUGUAUAAGAUGGAAUGAGUUCUCCAAGUACUAUAGAGCUGAGACUUGAAAUGGACUUAUUUAUGCAUUUAAGUAUGUUUUACAUUA